GAGAAAUAAUAAUAUAGCUUUAUAGAAUUUUCCAUCUUGUAUUAAAAUAAUCACAUGUACAUCAUUGUAACUCAGUCCAUAACAUAAGAUUUUGUACAACAAUUUCUUUUUGUGUGCUGGCAUCAUUAAGGUUUAGUCUGCCCAGAUCACCUAUUAGUACCUAAUUUAUAUAUUCUGAAUUAAAAUUAUCUGUUAAUUUAAAAACAUUUUAUCUAUUGUCUUUCAAAAUAGUAUUAACUGAGGGUUUUUUUGUGUGUGUUUUUCUAUUUUGCUUGGCUUUUUGAACAUUACUGGACUCUCGUUUUAGAAGGAAAAACCUUUCAGCUCUACUCUCACAAUCUUAUAGCUUUGUUUGAACAUGCCAAAAAACCAGGAUUAGCUGCCCAUAUUCAAACUCACAGGUUUCCAGACCGAAUACUACCAAGAAAAUUCGCUUUAACAACAAAGAUUCCUGAUACAAAAGGCUGCCACAAAUGUUGCAUAGUCAGAAACCCUUACACGGGACAUAAAUACCUCUGUGGAGCUUUACAGUCUGGAAUUGUUUUACUUCAGUGGUAUGAGCCAAUGCAGAAAUUCAUGUUGAUAA
rnacentral:lncRNA from 1 species